rnacentral:rRNA from 1 species
AGAGCGAACGCUAGCGGGUGGCCUAACACAUGCAAGUCGAGCGGAGACUUCGGUCUCAGCGGCGGACGGGUGAGUAACACGUAGGUAUCUACUUCUUGGUGGGGCAUAGGCCGGGGGGAAACCCCGAUUAAUACCGCAUAUGGCCUACGGGUCAAAGCCUUCGGGCGCCAUGGAAUGAGCAUGCGGCCGAUUAUUAAUCCUAGUUGGUGGGUAAUGGCCUACCAAGGGUACGAUCGGUAGCUGGUCUGAGAGGACGAUCAGCCACACUGGAACUGAGACACGGUCCAGACUCCGUACGGGAGCAGCAGUGGGGAAUAUUGCGCAAGUGGGACGAAAGCCUGACGCAGCCAACCCGCGUGGGUGAUGGAAGGCCGUUCGGGUCGUAAACGCCCCGUGUCCGGUGAAGGGGAAGAACCGUGGACCGGUACCUCAACAAGAAAGCCGACCGGCCUAACCCCGCGACCCAGCCGACGCCGAC